UACGUAGGUGGCAAGCGUUGUCCGGAUUUACUGGGCGUAAAGAGCGCGCAGGCGGUCGUUCAAGUCGCGUGUGAAAGCCCCCGGCUCAACUGGGGAGGGUCACGCGAUACUGAUCGACUCGAAGGCAGGAGAGGGAAGUGGAAUUCCCGGUGUAGUGGUGAAAUGCGUAGAUAUCGGGAGGAACACCAGUGGCGCAGGCGGCGCUCUGGGUCACACCUGACACUGAGAUACGAAGGCAUGGGGAGCGAACGGG
rnacentral:rRNA from 1 species